GACGAACGCUGGCGGCGUGCUUAACACAUGCAAGUCGAACGGAAAGGCCUGCUUUCCCUUGUGGAUUGCGGGUACUCGAGUGGCGAACGGGUGAGUAACACGUGAGUGAUCUGCCCCCAACUUGGGUAUAAGCCUGGGAAACUGGGUCUAAUUCCCGAUAGGACUGCAGGGUGGUGCCUGUGGUGGAAAACGAUUUUCUAGUGGUUGGGGAUGAGCUCGCGGCCUAUCAGCUUGUUGGUGGGGUAAUGGCCUACCAAGGCGGCGACGGGUAGCCGGCCUGGGAGGGUGGACGGCCACAUUGGGACGGAGAUACGGCCCAGACUCCUACGGGAGGCAGCAGUGGGGAAUAUUGCACAAGGGGCGGAAGCCUGAUGCAGCGACGCCGCGUGGGGGAUGACGGCCUUCGGGUUGUAAACUCCUUUCGACCGCGAGGAAGCCACCUGGUUGGAAGGGUGGUGACGGUAGUGGGAGAAGAAGCACCGGCUAACUACGUG
rnacentral:rRNA from 1 species